rnacentral:rRNA from 1 species
CCUGGUGGCUAAUACCCGAAUCAACUGGCCCACACAGAAGGAAGGGUGUACAAGUGUGCACUCUGUGUGUGGAGCUUGCUACCAGCUUAGAUACAGACUGGCACCCACAACCUGAGCCUAUCAGAGUUGUACAGGGUAGAUUGUUGUUGACCCAGGCUGGUGACAAUAACAGCUUUGGCACUCUUAGAUGGUGUUCAAUUACACCACUUGCUUGACCACCCGGGCUUCUGACCUAUCAGCUAGACUGUGGUGCAAUGGACCACAAUGGCACUUACGGGUAACGGGGAAUCAGGGUUCGACUCCGGAGAGGGAGCCUGAGAGAUGGCUACCACUACCAAGGUGGGCAGCAGGCACGUAAAUUGCCCACUACAGACACAACCUGUGAGGCAGCAACGAACAGUAAUAAUCCUGUUGGCUAUGUGUGUUGACAUGACUUGUAAUGGAUACUAUCUAAACACAGUCAUGAGUAUCUAUUAGGG